CUCAGAGGAAGCAUUUCCUGAUUCGACUACUUACGUCUUAAAUACUGUGUCAACAGCUGGUGCUCAGCCUGCUCUCAAUAAAUAUUCUCCCUUUUCUGUGCCCGUAAACAGUGAUAUAAAAUGAUAUACAUUAAGCCCGGGUUCGGGCAAAGAUCUUAAGCUCUAAUGUAGAAUCUGAAGACUGAUGACUGGAGACACUACAGCAGGGGGCUGACAGGAGCCAGUUUCUUCAGUGUGUUUGAGGAGCAGACGAGAAACUUGUGCUGUGCUCUGAGUUGAUGAAGUAGUGUGUGUCGAGCUGAAGGAGAAGAUGGAGAACUGUCUGAUGCUGAUGUUUCUGUGUUAUAUGGUAAAACUCAUCACCUCUGACAGUGUGAGUGUGAGGUUGGUGAAUGGCAAUAAUCCCUGUGCUGGUCGAGUGGAGGUUUAUAAUGAUGGUCAGUGGGGAACAGUGUGUCAUCAUGGCUGGGAUAUGACUGAUGCUGCAGUGGUGUGUAGAGAGCUGGACUGUGGGACGGCUGUAAAAGCAACAUACGAUGCUCACUUUGGACAAGGAUCAGGACCAAUUUCAAUGGGUUUUGUACAAUGUAAUGGAUCAGAGACUACACUGAAAGACUGUAGUUCAAACAGCGAGUUUGCACAGUACUGUGAUCAUGAUGAAGAUGCUGGAGUCAUCUGUUCAGGUAAGCUGCUCCAAACCUCAGUCUGUUAUUUCAUCACUCUCUUUCAUAAAUCACACUCAAUCAAUAAUAAUGCAGGUGUUUACAAACAUCACUAUCAAUCUUAUGAAACAGGCAGUCUCUGUUUUAUUGUUUUGUUCAUAAUAAUAUAUUAAUCUUAAUUCCUUAUUAUCUUUCAUUAAACUAUGACGAAGAGAAUCACCAUUAAAUAUGUCAUGUAUUUUGUAUAUUCAGACAGUCUGAUCUGACAAUCUUAUUUAAAUUGUUUAUUUAAUGAAGAUUAUCAAAUUACAGAUGAAAGAUAAAAUUACAUAUCUACGGUGAGUGGGAGGGACAUGUUCGUAGUUUUGUCAUGUUCACGAGAUCUUUUUGUCGAGAUUAACGACAUUCUUAUGUUUACGAGUUUAAUGUAUAAACAACUCUGUGUGACCAUAGCAACCUGGGAUUAUGAGAAAUGGAUAAAACGAUGGUCUG